ensembl:lincRNA
AACAGAAAAAAGAAGCCAAUUGUGUCAGUGGUGCUGCCUUUUAUGACUCUGGUGCACUAAGUUGUGAUUAUGCUUAAACACUUACUUAAACGCUGGUGCUAUUGGUAGUGGUUUCGGUUGUUAUGGUCUUAGUCGUGGUACUUUCUAGAGUUGCGGUGCCAGCUGUUGUGCUCUCAGUUGUUGUGGUGCCAGUUGUGGUGCUUUCUGGAGUUGUGGUGCCAGUUGUGGUGCUUUCAGUUGUUGUGGUCUCAGUUGUGGUGCUUUCUGGAGUUGUGGUGCCAGUUGUGGUGCUUUCUGGAGUUGUGGUGCCAGUUGUGGUGCUUUCUGGAGUUGUGGUCUCAGUUGUGGUACUUUCUGGAGUUGUGGUGCCAGUUGUGGUGCUUUCAGUUGUUGUGGUGCCAGUUGUGGUGCUUUCAGUUGUUGUGGUCUCAGUUGUGGUGCUUUCUGGAGUUGUGGUGCCAGUUGUGGUGCUUUCGGUUGUUGUUGUGCCAGUUGUGGUGCUUUCGGUUGUUGUGGUCUCAGUUGUGGUACUUUCUGGAGUUGUGGUGCCAGUUGUGGUGCUUUCGGUUGUUGUGGUGCCAGUUGUGGUGCUUUCGGUUGUUGUGGUCUCAGUUGUGGUACUUUCUGGAGUUGCUUUCGGUUGUUGUGGUGCCAGUUGUGGUGCUUUCUGGAGUUGUGGUGCCAGUUGUGGUGCUUUCGGUUGUUGUGGUGCCAGUUGUGGUGCUUUCGGUUGUUGUGGUGCCAGUUGUGGUGCUUUCUGUUGUUGUGGUGGAGUUGUGGUGCCAGUUGUGGUGCUUUCUGUUGUUGUGGUCUCAGUUGUGGUGCUUUCUGGAGUUGUGGUGCCAGUUGUGGUGCUUUCGGUUGUUGUGGUCUCAGUUGUGGUACUUUCUGGAGUUGUGGUGCCAGUUGUGGUGCUUUCGGUUGUUGUGGUCUCAGUUGUGGUACUUUCUGGAGUUGUGGUGCUUUCGGUUGUUGUGGUGCCAGUUGUGGUGCUUUCAGUUGUUGUGGUCUCAGUUGUGGUGCUUUCUGGAGUUGUGGUGCCAGUUGUGGUGCUUUCGGUUGUUGUGGUGCUUUCGGUUGUUGUGGUGCCAGUUGUGGUGCUUUCUGGAGUUGUGGUGCCAGUUGUGGUGCUUUCGGUUGUUGUGGUCUCAGUUGUGGUACUUUCUGGAGUUGUGGUGCCAGUUGUGGUGCUUUCUGUUGUUGUGGUCUCAGUUGUGGUGCUUUCUGGAGUUGUGGUGCCAGUUGUGGUGCUUUCGGUUGUUGUGGUCUCAGUCGUGGUACUUUCUAGAGUUGUGGUGCCAGUUGUGGUGCUUUCGGUUGUUGUGGUGCCAGUUGUGGUGCUUUCGGUUGUUGUGGUUUCAGUUGUUUUACUUUCUGGAGUUGUGGUGCCAGUUGUGGUGCUUUCGGUUGUUGUGGUCUCAGUUGUGGUACUUUCUGGAGUUUUGGUGCCAGUUGUGAUGCUUUCGGUUGUUGUGGUCUCAGUUGUGGUGCUUUCUGUUGUUGUAGUUUCAGUUGUGGUGCUUUCUGGAGUUGUGGUGCCAGUUGUGGUGCUUUCGGUUGUUGUGGUGCCUGUUGUGGUGCUUUCUGGAGUUGUGGUGCCAGUUGUGGUGCUUUCUGUUGUUGUGGUCUCAGUUGUGGUGCUUUCUGGAGUUGUGGUGUCAGUUGUGGUGCUUUCGGUUGUUGUGGUGUCAGUUGUGGUACUUGCUGGAGUUGUGGUGCCAGUUGUGGUGCUUUCGGUUGUUGUGGUGCCAGUUGUAGUGCUUUCGGUUGUUGUGGUGCCAGUUGUGGUGCUUUCUGGAGUUGUGGUGUCAGUUGUGGUGCUUUCGGUUGUUGUGGUCUCAGUUGUGGUACUUUCUGGAGUUGUGGUGCCAGUUGUGGUGCUUUCUGUUGUUGUGGUUUCAGUUGUGGUGCUUUCUGGAGUUGUGGUGCCAGUUGUGGUGCUUUCGGUUGUUGUGGUCUCAGUUGUGGUGCUUUCUGGAGUUGUGGUGCCAGUUGUGGUGCUUUCGGUUGUUGUGGUCUCAUUUGUGGUGCUUUCUGGAGUUGUGGUGCCAGUUGUGGUGCUUUCGGUUGUUGUGGUGCCAGUUGUGGUGGUUUCGGUUGUUGUGGUGCCAGUUGUGGUGCUUUCGGUUGUUGUGGUCUCUGUUGUGGUACUUUCUGGAGUUGUGGUGCCAGUUGUGGUGCUUUCGGUUGUUGUGGUCUCAGUUGUGGUACUUUCUGGAGUUGUAGUGCCAGUUGUGGUGCUUUCGGUUGUUGUGGUGCUUUCGGUUGUUGUGGUCUCAGUUGUGGUACUUCCUGGAGUUGUGGUGCCAGUUGUGGUGCUUUCGGUUGUUGUGGUGCUUUCUGGAGUUGUGGUGCCAGUUGUGGUGCUUUCGGUUGUUGUGGUACUUUCUGGAGUUGUGGUGCCAGUUGUGGUGCUUUCUGUCACUUGGCUUUCUAUUGGUGUUGUUUCUGAAGUGGCGUAUUCUGUUUGUGAAAAAGAGAGAGACUCAAUAUUUUUGUAACAUUUCUUGUUUUUAUCUUAUAUAGCACAGAUCUAUUUGUUGGAAUAGCCAAGUACACAUAAUUCAAAUCAAAAUAUGAAUAAAUAUGACUUUUCAUGAUUAUAUUUUAUGAAUUUACAACCGUAUAUAUCAAUACUUAAUUUUUGAUUUAGGCGAGGCAGUGGCGCAGUAGGUAGUGCUGUCGCCUCACAGCAAGAAGGUCGCUGGUUCGAGCCUUGGCUCAGUUGGUGUUUCUGUGUGGAGUUUGCAUGUUCUCCCUGCCUUCGCGUGGGUUUCCUCCGGGUGCUCCGGUUUCCCCCACAGUCCAAAGACAUGCGGUACAGGUGAAUUGGGUAGGCUAAAUUGUCCAUAGUGUAUGAGUGUGUGUGUGAAUGUGUGUGUGGAUGUUUCCCAGAGAUGGGUUGUGGCUGAAAGGGGAUCCGCUGCGUAAAAACUUGCUGGAUAAGUUAGUGGUUCAUUCUACUGUGGCGACCCCAGAUUAAUAAAGGGACUAAGCCGACAAAUAAAUGAAUGAAUCAUUUUUAAUUUGUAAUAUGCAUUGCUAAGAACUUUAAAUGUGGUUUGUAUGUGAUGUAAUUUUUAUUUUUUAUUUUUCAAAAGCUUUGCAUUGUUUUAUAAAACUCGGUUUCCAAAAAAACUAGCCCUUAUGGUUGGUUUUGUGGUAACAUUAGUAUUUACAGUCCUGUUUAAGAGUACAACAAACACCUUUAUCCUCCACCAGGUGGCAGUAAGAGUGUGCACAACAUAACUUUGAAUGGUAUAAUGUACAAGCCCUGCAUGCCAAAAUCAAUACCUUUAACAUUUCACACUUGCUUUAUGCAGCCUUAAUUAUUUAAGAAGAAAUAAAUCACACAGAAAGCAUCUUCCAACAUAAUACAUUACCAGUUAUUAUGUCCAUGGUUGUUGUUUCUGUGGUAAACAUAGUGUUUGGAUUGGCAGUAGUAUAUGUAGUGUUUAUGUUCCUUACAUCUGGGAGAAAAAAAAAAUCAUGGCUACAUUUUAUAUACUGGAAUGAUUAUGAUUAACAUAAAGGAAAGGGAAAUGUAAGUAUAUUUAUUUACCUGCACAAUAUGCCAAAGAGCAGAACUCUGGUUUCACAAACUCAUAGACAUAAAAACCUCCAGGACAGGCUUUGACUUGAAUGGGAUUGGACUGGAAAUAGCAGCAGUUGUUGCUCCAUUGACCGCAGACAUCUCGAGAGACCACUCCAUCCUCAAGUGUUGGAUGUCCUCCGCUCAGCCACAGUGGAGCAUGAGUGCCGCAACUGUGCUCAUCAACACAUGUGUCUGGCAUCUGAACACUCUGACCAUUAAUGAAGAGACGGUACCAGCCGUCCCAGUUAACCUCACAGUCGCACAUUAUUUCAAAGGAAUAUUGAUUACUGGUGGCUCUCCACGGGUUAUCCAGGGCAUGGUAACUGGUGCAGGGAUCAACAGGAGGAACCACUGUUAAGGAGAAAUUAAAUGAAUAUAUCACUGUUGAAUUAGUUUAAUGCAAAAUACUUAAAUGCAUUUAAAACUAUUACUGUUUGGUUGGAAAAAUUGCAGUUUGCAAAAUGUGCAUCUGGUGUUUGGUCUUACACUAGUCAAAAUGCAUUGCAAGUAUUCAUUGCUUCAUGCAUAUACGUUCACACCAUUUACAGUACAUCCGUAUUUCGAAGAUUCAGUUUAACCACUAGUUAAAGUGUGAGUAUUUAUCAGCUUUGUGCGUUUCAAAACUGCCAACUUGUCUGCAUUUGUCUUUCCAGAACUCCUUAAAAUCAGCACAAUUUAAUUAUUUAAAUUUAAUUAUUGUUAAUUGUUAUUAGUUUAAUAAUUUAAGAUGGCAUGCUAACUGACUUUUGCAAGUUGCAAGUAAUUUGGACUGGUAUCUGAAAUAUUACCUGAUUAUUUAAGGCCAUUGUUAUUGUCAUUUUUUAGCCAAUUGUUUGUAAGUAUUGUUGACGUUAAAAUGAUCCUUGUUUUGGCUUUAAUUAAAGUCUAACUGUUGCAUAUAAGAUUCUUUUCUGACAUUAUUUGCAGAUCUACUUUUAUCCAUGCAUUAUCCAUGCAUUUACAUUAUUUUUAGCCAUCAUAUUUACUUUUGUUUCUAAAAUGAAUGCAACUAGCAAUCAAAAAUGAUGCACAUCUGCACAUUAAACAUGCAUACAGGUUUCUUUUUUUUUUUUUUUUUUGCGUGCAAAAUGGUAAAUAUGUAUUUGAUUUAACAUGUUUUAUUAAAUAGAUUAACACUUUAAAUUACCUGUGCUUAGAAUUUAUUUAAGCUACAAUUCUUGCUAUUAAUAAACCAUUAACCUUCUGGGGUCUGAGGUGAUUUUAGGACCCUUAAGAUUUUUUGACAUGCCCUGACAUGUGUUAUUUUAGCUACUUAUUAGAUAGUCCUGGCCAACUUGUAUUUUGUUUUCAUUAAAUUUAAUAUAAUAUCAACUUGUUUUCACCACAAACUGUGCUACAAUAAUAUGUGAGAAAUAUGGAUGUACACGCUUGCAUUUUUUAGGGGGGAGAAAAGUAUGCGUGGUUAUUAAUCUUUAAAUGUGAUGAGCUCAGACUGAA